AUACCUUUAUCUCAGCUGGUCAGAGCAGAUGGCUCAUAACCGUCCGGUCGUAGGUUCGAGUCCUACAGGGUACA
rnacentral:tRNA from 2 species